AUUGUUCGAUUCUUUCAAUGCUGAAAACAUCCUGGCCGCUGGCAGGAGUAAAACCAAAAGCAGCCAUAAGGAGUGACUGUAGCUUCAGUCCUGGCUUUCAAUGAAAGUCCAUGAAAACGAAGCAGAAAAAUGGAAUUCAGGCAUCAUCAAUAAUAUAAAUAACACCUUUGAUUUUCCUACUGUGACAUGUCAAACUCUCCUAUUUGUAACAUUUCACUGAUGCAAGCCAGAACACCAGAACCCCUCAGGGAUUUCAAACAAUUAUGAGACUUCAUAUUGGGAGGAAAUCAACAAUCUUGCAGAGUGGUGCACAGAGAACAACCUACUGCUCAAUGUCAGCAAAACCAAAGAGCUGAUUGUGGCUUCAUGAAAGAGGAGAUUGCCUUGCAAGUGGCUGCAGCCCAUCAAGGCCGGAAAAACACAACAAGAACAGUUUCUUCCCGACUGCAGCUGGCCUCAUCAACAUGGCCCAGGACCCCUACUGACACUUACUGUUUAGCUGCCCCACGGGCAUUACAUGUUACAUUAGCAUAAAGUUUCCAUAUCUGACUUUUGCACUACAUUAACAGCCAUUUUUUGGACUGUCAUCUCUGCACAUCGCACAUAUUCUUUAUACUGUGAAUAUUGAGACAUUUCCUGGCCCCUUAGCUUUUUAUUUAAAAAUCAUAUUACAUAUUUUUCAUGUUUUUUUUAAAUUGUAAAUUUAUUUAUUUCACAGUAUGUUUUUUUUACUGGGACCAUUUAGUGUUGCCUCAAUAUUCCAAACAAAAUUCCUGGUUUUUGAAAACCAAACUGACAAGAAAUCAGAUUGUUAUUCAUUUACCUACGGGGUUGCAAUGUUUAAUUGUUUUGUAUAAAACACAUUCGAUACUGUUCUUUCUAAUACAACUUCAUGUCCCUACAGCACCCUCAUGUGGCCGGUCUGUUUUCACUAAUGUGAUCCUGCUGUUAUCGACUCAUUAUCAGAUUAUCUACCAUCUUUUUUCACAAUCAGAAAAAAAUAUUUAUCUUUAAAUAUAUAGAUGUAACUUUUUUGGAUUCGUUUUUUUUUUUUAAUUUAGAUUAAUGUUUUUCUUUAUUUCAUUUUAGAUUAAUUAUAUGCACAGAAAUUCUUUAGGAGAGAUCACUUAAACAGCGUCAACGGCAAAAUAUUUAUCUGCGUGCCAGAACCAAAGGGAAAACCUGUGAGACCACUUGUUUGUUUAACUUUGUUCUAAUGUUUUCUGUAUGUGUGCAUAUGUCUACAGGGCUGAAAUCAACAAUACUGAUCUCUUAAUCAAAAAGUUUCAGCAAUUGCAUAACCUUAAAACUGAUACCAAUAAACCUUAAGUGAUUAGGUUUAUUCCUGCUUCACAGCCCCCUUAGCGAGGAUGCACAUCUAUAAAAGACAAUUAGUGUUAAAGGCACUCAACUACUGCUGUAGCUUUGAGUAACCAACAGUGAUAAAACACUAUGGAUAUAAUUUUGCGGUUUAUAUGGAGACAUUCAUUAUUUCUAUGUACACCUGAUUGAUUCUCACUUGACUGUCUUGUUGACUUAAGGUGAAAAAAAAUUACAAAGCUUACGUGUGUAUAUUUUACAAACAUUAUUCAUAAACCUCCUCACAUGUGCUA